rnacentral:rRNA from 1 species
UACGUAGGGGGCAAGCGUUGUCCGGAAUCAUUGGGCGUAAAGCGCGUGUAGGCGGUUCGUUAAGUCGGCUGUGAAAGUCCAGGGCUCAACCCUGGGAUGCCGGUCGAUACUGCCGGACUAGAGUUCGGAAGAGGCGAGUGGAAUUCCCGGUGUAGCGGUGAAAUGCGCAGAUAUCGGGAGGAACACCAAUGGCGAAGGCAGCUCGCUGGGACGUUACUGACGCUGAGACGCGAAAGCGUGGGGAGCAAACAGG